rnacentral:rRNA from 1 species
GACGUAGGGCGCGAGCGUUGUCCGGAUUUAUUGGGCGUAAAGAGCUCGUAGGCGGCUUGUCGCGUCGUCUGUGAAAUCCCUCGGCUCAACCGAGGAACUGCGUCCGAUACUGGCAGGCUGGAAUCCGGGAGAGGGAUGUGGAAUUCCAGGUGUAGCGGUGAAAAUGCGUAGAUAUCUGGAGGAAACACCGGUGGCGAAGGCGGCAUCCUGGACCGGUAUUGACGCUGAGGCGCGAAAGCUAGGGGAGCAAACGGG